UAGUAACUGCGAGUGAAGCGGGAAAAGCUCAAAUUUAAAAUCUGGCGGUCUUUGGCCGUCCGAGUUGUAGUCUGGAGAAGUGCUUUCCGCGCUGGACCGUGUACAAGUCUCUUGGAACAGAGCGUCAUAGAGGGUGAGAAUCCCGUCUUUGACACGGACUACCAGUGCUUUGUGAUGCGCUCUCAAAGAGUCGAGUUGUUUGGGAAUGCAGCUCUAAAUGGGUGGUAAAUUCCAUCUAAAGCUAAAUAUUGGCGAGAGACCGAUAGCGAACAAGUACCGUGAGGGAAAGAUGAAAAGCACUUUGGAAAGAGAGUUAAACAGUACGUGAAAUUGCUGAAAGGGAAACGCUUGAAGUCAGUCGCGUUGGCCGGGACUCAGCCUUGCUUUUUGCUUGGUGCAUUUUCCGGUUGACGGGCCAGCAUCGAUUUUGACCGUCGGAAAAGGGCUGGGGAAAUGUGGCACCUUCGGGUGUGUUAUAGUCUCUAGUCGCAUACGGCGGUCGGGAUCGAGGAACGCAGCGCGCCGCAAGGCAGGGGUUCGCCCACUUUCGCGCUUAGGAUGCUGGCAUAAUGGCUUUAAACGACCCGUCUUGAAACACGGACCAAGGAGUCUAACUUACCUGCGAGUGUUUGGGUGGAAAACCCGAGCGCGUAAUGAAAGUGAAAGUUGAGACCUCUGUCGUGGAGGGCAUCGACGCCCGGACCUGACGUUCUCUGACGGAUCCGCGGUAGAGCAUGUAUGUUGGGACCCGAAAGAUGGUGAACUAUGCCUGAAUAGGGUGAAGCCAGAGGAAACUCUGGUGGAGGCUCGUAGCGAUUCUGACGUGCAAAUCGAUCGUC
rnacentral:rRNA from 1 species